rfam:Triticum aestivum genome assembly, contig: Triticum_aestivum_CS42_TGACv1_scaffold_271460_3DS
UAUAUACUCCCUCUGUUUAAAAUUAGUUGACUCGGAUUUGUCUAGAUACGGAUAUAUUUAGACAUGUUUUAGUGUUAGAUACAUCUGUAUCUAGAUACAUCCAAGUCAACUAAUUUGGAAUGGAGGGAGUAGGUU